UCAGUUCACGUGAGUGACGUCAGCAACUGUCGUUUUGGUCACGUGUGAAUGAGCGGCAUCUGCUGGAGGCUGAAACCAAAUGCAUGCUGGGUAAUCGGGAGAUGUGGGACUUUACCCGGCGGGCCGCUCAACUUUAGCGCCGCCAGUGAGGAGAGAAAAAAAGCGGCGUUUCGGUCUGUCACUGUAGCAGGUGACAAAGUUCUGUUUUUAUUGAAUGGAUAAUAAAUAUAAACACUUUUAAGACACAACUUCAUGUAAACCAUCAUAUAUAGAACGACGUAAUUUUCUAGUUAGUAAAUUCGUGUCAUCAAUCAGCGGGAAAGUGUUCGCUUUUCACUGUGCGGCCGCUGCGGCUGCUGGAAUGUUCCAUUUCACGUGCGGAACACCCCUCCGUAGUUGGUUCAGUCCAAUGCUUCCCCAGUACCAGCGCGCGCUCCAAGCUUUAGCAGCAAGCUAGCAGCGGUGCUAACUUCUAUCAUUCACAGCGGAGGAAUGGAGAGAAAGAGAGAAACAGAUGAAAAAGAAGGAUGGUUCUGGAAUACUUCAAGAUAACCGACUUGUUUUAGAGACGGUAAACAGAUCCAGAGGAGAGAAAUGGUUCGCUGCAGAUUCAGAAACUGGGAGUUCUGUCAGAAUUAUCUUCCAACGGUCGGAUGCUGUAUCCUGAAGGUCUUGGAUCGGGACUCGGUGCUGGCUGAUUCUUCCCAAUCGGGACCGUGAAACCGGAUCGGGACCAUGGUGUGGAUCUGUAAACACCGGACCGUACUGCCGUGGUUCUGCAGCAAAAGCCCGUCGGACCGCUCCACCAAAGCAAACAUUUGCAAAUACUCGGAUCCACGUCUGUGGGGGAGGGGGUGAGUGCUGGGAGAGAGAGAGCGAGCAGGAAGCAGCAGGUGGUGCAGCUUUACACACAGGUGUUACGGAGGAGAGCGUUACCAUGACAACACAACACCAAAACAACACUGAUGUCUGACCCACAGGAAGAUGAACGACCACACAGAACUGACACGCUGCAGGUGAACCCUGAAAACCCGACUGGGAAAGCCCAGUAGAACCGAACCGCUCGGGUCCGUUUCCCUCAUGAGGUCACGGAUGGAGAUGAGCACAGAUCCGUCUGGAUUCCACCGAUGGGAAAUCCAGACGGACAGCACAGAGCGUCACAUGCGUGUUCAGGGCGUGCAUGUGGGCGGGUCCCUCACCAGUGCUGUAGCCGUGGGAACCGUAGCCGCUGGCCUGUUGGAAGGGCGUGGCCGAGGCGUUGACGCCGACAUUCACGCCGUGCUGCUUCGACGAGGUAGGAGCCACCUGGACCAACAGACGGCGUCCGAGUGGGUCAGAGAACAUUCUUUAACUCAUUUAGACAUUUACAUUCACCAACACCUUCAGACAGAAACCAAGAUGAUUCUGUGUUGAUAUUUUUGAUCCGAUUUCCAACCCGUUCCAGGACUCAGACCAGUUUAACAUCAGAUGUUUUCAUGGCCGGUCCUUAGGAGGCUGAAGUUAGCGUCCGUUUUGUUUUAAAGUUCAUCUUCAUCGGUCAAAUCUGUGCAGCUGCUUUAACUUUA